rnacentral:rRNA from 1 species
UACGUAGGUGGCAAGCGUUGUCCGGAUUUACUGGGCGUAAAGGGCGUGCAGGCGGUUUUUUAAGUCUAGGGUGAAAGCUCCCGGCUCAACUGGGAGAGGUCCUUGGAUACUGGAGAACUUGAGGGAUGCAGAGGAAAGUGGAAUUCCCGGUGUAGUGGUGAUAUGCGUAGAUAUCGGGAGGAACACCAGUGGCGAAGGCGGCUUUCUGGGCAUUUCCUGACGCUGAGACGCGAAAGCGUGGGGAGCGAAC